CGCGUAGGCGGCUUUGCAAGUCAGAUGUGAAAGCCCCGGGCUUAACUCGGGAAUUGCAUCUGAAACUGCUUUGCUUGAGUCCUGGAGGGGGUAGUGGAAUUCCCAGUGUAGCGGUGAAAUGCGUAGAUAUUGGGAGGAACACCUGCGGCGAAGGCGGCUACCUGGACAGUGACUGACGCUGAUGCGCGAAAGCUAGGGGAGCGAACGGGAUUAGAUACCCCGGUAGUCCUAGCCGUAAACGAUGGGCACUUGGUGUUGGGGGUAUUGAGUCCCCCGGUGCCGGAGUUAACACGUUAAGUGCCCCGCCUGGGGAGUACGGUCGCAAGACUGAA
rnacentral:rRNA from 1 species